UCAUCUUCUUCGAUGUGGGCGGUGCCCUCCACUCCACGACGGCGCGCCGCACUCUGCCCACGACCUCGACCUCCUCCCCCAUGACCACGACCUCAACCGCUCUGCCAGCUCCGCCACUUACGCACGCACGACCUCAACCUCGCCUGAUUCAGCGCAUAGAAGAGCGUGUGGCGUCGAGGUCGAGCGUGCGGCGCCGAGGUCGAGCGUGCGUCACCGAGGGAGAGGAAAACCACUGAGCGUUAUUUCCUAAGCCUCCUGCUUGAUGUCUCCACCGUCCCUCAACGCAAUUGCCGCCGCCCGGGAUGCGCUCCACCCCCGCCCGCUAAUCGUCCCCUUGCAACUGCCGCCGCGGCCGCCAAUCGGCCCCCAAGAACCAAAGGUUCGAGCUCCGCAGGUGGCAAGCUCCUUCUUCAUCCACGCCCUCCCUCCGCCUUGAGAACCAGAGGAAACCAGAGUCACCAAAACUACGGGCAAGACUGUACGAAGGGAAACAUAGUACUCCCACGAAGAAGAAGUGCUGCAACUGCAGGAACUCCAAAUGUUUGAAGUUGUUUCGAGUGGCUUCGCAUCGCAGGCUGCCAAGCCCACCGAGAAGCAGGUCAAGGUACUUGCCUUAUCCGUGAUGAGCGAAUGUAGUUGUAAAAUGGGAAACGUUGCUGUUUUAUUAUAUGGCCGGGAGUGGUGAACUGGUGAUAGGCUACUCUUGUCAGUGCAUAUGUAUUAUUUGCAACCCAUGGAUUAUGCAACUAUUUCUCUAUUAUAUUUAUAUUUUUUCCCUGAUAGUGCCUUCAUGUUUUGUGUUGUGCUUUCACAUCUUGAUAUUAUGUGCCUCAGUCAAAGUUUCAUAUUUGUUUCUAUUGUUUUCUUGGUUCAAAUCAUGCGUUGCUUGAUGGUGCUGCUGAUUUAGCUCUAGAGAUAUGGGGGAAACUACGGAGGAGGAACAAAUACAUAGUGAUAUUGCCAGCUGGCCUGGCAUUAAUAUGUCUGUAAAACCUACCAACUCCAGCCUUAAGUUGUAUGGUGGUGCAGCUUUUGGGAGACAUGCAUGAUUUCAUUGUGUAAUGUAUUUAAUGAAAUGCCCACAAGUCCAGUCUCAAGGGAGAAGGUUGCAAACAUACUACUUGCUCAUGUUGGAUGACAUGGAAGCAGUAGGUUGACCAAGGCAACAGCUGAGAUAGCUCGUGCAGCCAACCGAUCAUGGCUUGCUCUUCUUAUCGAUACUGCAUGUGACCAGUUUUCAUUUAUCCUACAAAGUCUGUUUGAUCUCGCUAUGGAGCACAACCGCAAUAAGGACUCACAAUGUAAGAGCUUGACCUUGCUAUUCAUGCUGGUUCGUCUUGCUUUACAUUUGCCUGGGUAUCAUUUGGUUCACAGUGAAGUAAAUUAUAAUUGUUUAGUAAAUAUUUCAUUUUAUUUUGUUCUACAUGUUCAUCAAAAGGUAGGCAAGGAUUGCAUUUUCUCUACUGCAUAUUUAGUCAUCUGCAUUCCCCAACUUAUGCUGUAAAUUUUGCUACCAAAUUAUGCUGUAGAUUUUGCUUUGCGAUAUCUCAGUAAUUGCAGGAGCAUAAUUUGGUAGCUAAUGUGUUAUUGUUUUGGUCUUCCCAAUGACGACUGUUGUUGGCACUUGGCAGGAUGAUUUUGUACGUCGUUUGUGCCAAACUGUUUUAGUUUUGACCAGGUUUAUAUGAAAAAUAGUUACACAAGUACAUUGUAAAAGUUAUUUUAUAAUUAAUAUAGUGAUACUAAUUUAGUGUUCUACAUGUUGAUAUUUUUUACUAUACUUUAGUCAACCCUAACUUCGUUUUGACCCAAGAAUUUUGGAAUGGACAGAAUGGUUCUUUCAUUAAUCCAUUGUUUUGUUUUAUAUGUUGAUCAGCCCAUCACAAUGCCUUUGACAGUGACUUUGCUUUUUAAGGUGCAGUCAAUACACAUGGCAUCCAUCAAAUUACAGAAGAAGUUAUUUGUAGGUAUCUAAGAAGUUGGAGUUGCAUCAAAAGGCGAGGGUGUCGCUAAGUUCCAACAUGCAUUAAAAUUCUAUUUUUGUGAUAUAAUAUUUUAUUAAAUAAUUUGUGUGUCUUUGCAACGCACUAGCAUUACGCAAACUCAAAUAGAAAUUUAUAUAUUAUAGUCAUUCUUGUCAUUCCGUAUCUAUGUUUUAUUCUAAUUUUUAACUUUCGUGGCAACGCACGGGCACAUACCUAUUAUUUCAUGAUGUGUGAUCUCUUUCUAAGACUUCUAUUUCCAUCUGAACUACAAUAUAUGAUAUUUAUCAUCAUUUUUUUCUAGAUCCAUCUUUCAUCCCAUCCACUCUCUGAAAAUCUAAGCUUGAAUGCCCAAUACUAAAUUUUGCAUUAUGGAAGCAGUUUGAACAAAGAACAAUCUCUGUCACUUUGUGUGGCCCACCAGUAAAAAUAAGACAACUUGUUAGUCUGAUUAUAUGCUUCUUUGAUUAAGAGGGCUAUGUUCAAAUAAAACAUUCCAGUAAACUGGACAAAGUAUCUUGAACUGGAAGAAGCCUUUCAAAAAUACACAUCCUUUUUCUACAGUUCAAUAACUCACAACUUCAAUUCUGGAUGCAAGUGUUUAUUAUUCUACACUCUGCUGAUUCAGACCUGAAAAUGUUUGCAGUUGCAAAGAGAAUAUCAAAUAAAAUACUUGUUGAGCUUAAGUUUCUUCAUCAAAUCAUUUUUGGGAGGCUUCAAAUGUUCUAUGAACACAAUGAUAAUAAGAUGAGCUACCCAGCAAUGGCUCAACUUCUGUCAAAUAUACUCUACUACAAGAGAAAUUGAUUGGGAUAACAUCUCUACUACUAUGAAGAAUCUAAGGGGUAGGAUGUCUCCCCUGGUUCAAUUGAAAGUAGAUGAGAAGAGUAAGGAACACAAAAAAUACCUAAGGAGGAUGUUGUAUACCUAAAAGUUGGAUUGCAACUUGAGUAUGAUAGGGGAACUACGAUGGGGAACAGUUGGAGUAAUGAUGCUGGUACUAAAAUUUUUUCUAUGCCUGAUGAUGAGUACAUAUCAGAAGAUACAAUUGUUGUUUAUGAUAAGCUAAAUCCUGUAAAUCCAAACUUCUAUUUAACAUGACUCUCUUUAUUUCCACUUUACAUGAAAAGUAGCACUAUACCAUGGUUUGGUGAAAGGAGAGAAGAUGAAGGUGCUGGUACAUCACAAUCAAUACUAGAAGCAAGACAGACGCACCCACUAUUGUUACUGAAGGUCAAGAUGCACAAGAUGAUCUGACAACACCACAUGCACCUAAGAUGUCCAAAAAGAUUACUCCAAGGAAGAAAAGCAAUUGAACUACCUUAUGUAUAUUCAAAAUUAGUGUAUUAUCCACUAUGUUGUGUCAAGAACUAUGACUUCAAAAUUAGUGUGUCAUGAACUAUGCUGUUUCAUGAACUAUGUCUUCAAAUUCUGGGAAGUGGAGUGCAGUUUCUUGUAUAAUUUUGAACAUGUCCAUGUGCACCUACUCUGCUAAUUGUGUCAUGGACUGACAUGAAUUAUGUCAUGAACUCUGCCAACUGUGUCAUGAACUGGGAAGUGGAGUGCACCAACCGUGUCAUGAACAUGUCCAGUUUACUGCAACUCUGCCAAUGAUAAUAAAAUGUCCAGUUUGUAGGAC